ensembl:lncRNA
AAGAAGAAGAAGAAGAAGAAGAAGAAGAAGAAGAAGAAACAGAACUUCCAGUUAAUGUUUCCACAUUACAUUAUACAGUAUAACCUUGUAGCUUUAUGGCGGUCCCUCAUUAGCUGGGUUGUUGCUGUGUUUUUGCCAUUGUACAUUAAAAAAAUUCAACAAUGGAUUUGAACACAUCGGAUUAGAGAAGCUAAAACAGCAAAACAAUUCAUUCAAAUUGAUUCACUUUUAAAACCAACUGAAAGGAAAAUUAGGGACUCAUCUGAUCUUCUACACCCCCACCAGACACAGUGCACAGACACAGUGCACAGACACAGACACAGACACAGUGCACAGACACAGACACAGUGCACAGUGCACAGACACAGUACACAGACACAGUGCACAGACACAGUGCACAGUAGCACAGACACAGUACACAGACACAGUACACAGACACAGUGCACAGACACAGUACACAGACACAGUACACAGACACAGUGCACAGACACAGUACACAGACACAGUGCACAGACAGAUUGCAGAGUACACAGUGCACAGACACAGUGCACAGACACAGUGCACAGACAGAUUGCAGAGUACACAGUACACAGACACAGUGCACAGACACAGUGCACAGACACAAUACACAGACACAGUGCACAGACAGAUUGCAGAGUACACAGUGCACAGACACAGUGCACAGACACAAUGCACAGACACAGUGCACAGACACAGUACACAGACACAGACACAGUGCACAGACAGAUUGCACAGUACACAGUGCACAGUGCACAGACACAGUGCACAGACACAGACACAGUGCACAGACAGAUUGCACAGUACACAGUGCACAGACACAGUACACAGACACAGUACACAGACACAGUGCACAGACACAGUACACAGACACAGUGCACAGAGAGAUUGCACAGUACACAGUGCACAGACACAGUGCACAGACACAGUGCACAGACACAGUACACAGUGCACAGACACAGACACAGUGCACAGACACAGUACACAGACACAAUACACAGACACAGUACACAGACACAGUACACAGACAGAUUGCACAGUACACAGUGCACAGACAGAUUGCACAGUACACAGUGCACAGACACAGUGCACAGACACAAUAUACAGACAGAUUGCACAGUACACAGUGCACAGACACAGUACACAGACACAAUACACAGUACACAGACACAAUGCACAGACAGUGCACAGACACAGUGCACAGACACAAUGCACAGACAGUACACGGACACAGUGCACAGACACAGUACACAGACACAGUGCACAGACACAUGCACAGACACAGUGCACAGUGCACAGACACAGUGCACAGUACACAGACACAGUUCACAGACACAGUACACAGACACAGUACACGGACACAGUACACGGACACAGUACACAGACACAGCUCUACAUAACAACACUGUAUCAACUCCGCUCCAUCUUCAUCACUCUCUUCACGCUCUUCUCCCUAUAUGUGCGUCCGAACUUAAAUAUCUCCAGAGGAAUCCUCUCGGGACAGCUUCCAGCACUUUUCACUUAAACAAUUUCGUUUUCUCAUCAAAGGGUCCUGUUCUGAGGGUCACCCCCAUUUCCUCGGGCAAAUUAGAGUCACGUCAGCUUCAGGAGCCCGAGAGUUCGCGCCGAAUCGCCACUUCAGGACGAGGAGUAAUGAGACGCAAAGCGAGAAUGCGAAGACAAUUGGAAAGCACUAAUAUGCUCAGUAAGGCAAAGUUCAGUGUCUGAGUCAGCUGGAGUGAAAGUGUUAGUGUGGAGGAGGAUGAGGAGGAGGAGGAGGAGGAGGAGGAGGGAUCAAGGAAGCAGAGACACCCUGGUUUACUAAUAUUUAAUUCUAAUACAACAUGCCCUGUUAUUCAAGCAUGCAGCUAUAAU